CUAGAUUUUAAUACCGCGGGACUA
rnacentral:siRNA from 1 species